rnacentral:rRNA from 1 species
UACGUAGGAGGCAAGCGUUGUCCGGAAUUACUGGGCGUAAAGCGCGUGUAGGUGGUGGGACAAGUCUGCUGUGAAAGCGCCUGGCUUAACCGGGCGAGGUCGGCGGAAACUGUCCGACUCGAGGACGGUAGAGGGGGGGGUGGAAUUCCCGUGUAGUGGUGAAAUGCGUAGAGAUCGGGAGGAACACCUGUGGCGAAGGCGGCCCCCUGGGCCGGCCCUGACACUGAGACGCGAAGGCGUGGGGAGCGAACGGG